rnacentral:lncRNA from 1 species
UACUUCUUUAGUCUUGGAGGAACACCUUCAGCCAACCUUGCCGGGGACUAAGGAGCCCUGAUGCUUUUCUCACCCUCCCAUGCCCAGUCUUCACACCUGAACUUCCACGCCUUCAGCUUGCUGAAUGGGACCCUCCUGACUGGUGUUGCUGGGUUCACCUGAGUUUAUUCAGACCGCCUACUUCUUCAGCAGUUUUCCAUCUUUGGUCUCUGGUUGAUGUU